rnacentral:rRNA from 1 species
AGUGAACGCUGGCGGUAGGCCUAACACAUGCAAGUCGAACGGCAGCACAGUAAGAGCUUGCUCUUACGGGUGGCGAGUGGCGGACGGGUGAGGAAUACAUCGGAAUCUACUUUUUCGUGGGGGAUAACGUAGGGAAACUUACGCUAAUACCGCAUACGACCUACGGGUGAAAGCAGGGGAUCUUCGGACCUUGCGCGAUUGAAUGAGCCGAUGCCGGAUUAGCUAGUUGGCGGGGUAAAGGCCCAUCAAGGCGACGAUCCGUAGCUGGUCUGAGAGGAUGAUCAGCCACACUGGAACUGAGACACGGUCCAGACUCCUACGGGAGGCAGCAGUGGGGAAUAUUGGACAAUGGGCGCAAGCCUGAUCCAGCCAUACCGCGUGGGUGAAGAAGGCCUUCGGGUUGUAAAGCCCUUUUGUUGGGAAAGAAAAGCAGCAGGUUAAUACCCCGCUGUUCUGACGGUACCCAAAGAAUAAGCACCGGCUAACUUCGUG